CAAAGUAUAAACAUAAACAUGGAAAAUCUAUAACGUACCAGUAACGACAUUAGGAGAAUUUUCCUGAUCCUGCCGGGACUGAAGAGCAUAGAGUUUGUUUGGGCAUUGCCCACUGGUAGCACUAAAAAUGGAAUCCUGUUGGUUCAGGUGACUGGACUGAGUUGUAAAAUAAUUUUGUUGACCCUGAAGACUUGACUGCGGACACUCCCUAAUCCUGUGUCCUGGCUUUCCACAACCAAAAUAAACAUCAC
rnacentral:lncRNA from 1 species